AAGAAGAAGAAAGAAAAGAAAAGACCCAUACCUCGGUCUACCCCAGAUCUGUUGUAUCAGAAUCUCUGCAGUGGUGAUGGUGGUGGGAUUUCUAGGCAUCUGUACUUUUUAGGUUCCCAGGUGACAUCUUAUUGCACAGUGAAGACUGAGAAUCACUGAAUUAGAACAGAGUCCUCGGCCUGAGAUCCAUGGUGGGCUUUGAGGGAGCAUCUGUGAUGUCCUCUGAAACUGUAUGGAGAAUCGUCUAUACAUAUGCUUUCCUUGGGACGGGAAUCCAUUGCUUUUGUCAGAUUCUCCAAGUGCCUGUGACCCUCCAAAGAACACAGAGCAUGAGAUACAGGGGACAGAGGGCCGGAGCUGGGAAGGAGGAGGGGCAUUCGGGCUGUGGUCAUUCUGACACCAGCGGUUCCUUAAAGCACUCUUGUCACAACCCCACGAAGCUGCCCUCCAGCCCUCAGCUGCGCAGCCAGGCGACCUGGCCACCAGCCCUGCCAGGUACUCUCCCUGUCAGCUGCAUGAAACCGGCUGCAAGAAGAGAACCACAGGGUUUGGAGGUGGAUGUGGAGUAAGUAGGGAUUUACCUCAGGCUCAUCUCAAAAUCAGGGCAGCAGGAGCCAGUUCCAAACCCAAUAAGGCAGGGGUUCUAAAGUGUGGUCCCCAGACCAGCAGCUUCAGAAUCACCUGGGAACUUACUAGAAAUGCCAGUGAUCAGGCCCCACCCCUGACCUUCUCAAUCAGGAACUCUGUCACAGCCUAACAACUGCCUCGCAACAAAUCCCCGGGCCGACUCUGGCGCACACUGAAGUUGAGAACUGCUGCUGUGGGGGAGGGCGCGCCUCCUCAUUUGCUGAAGGAUGUGCUCGGGGUCAGCUGAGCCCCUGGGUGAGGCUGAUCCAGUAGGUUGAAACCCGUCAGUACCCACAGCUGAGAAAGUCUCUGCAAGGGCUGAGAGCUGAGAUGCUCCCGAAGCUGUUGCGGGUGAGAGGAAGGACUGGACUGCCACGUUCAUUUGCUGAAUUGGAAAACAGACUCUGGAGGGGCCAGGUUUUAUACCCUGUUUCAGACACACAGGGACCUCUAGUAGAUGGUUCUAGUAGUCAGCUAAGACGUAUGGUCUUGACUUUGGGAGAAGAUGCAGGGCUGGAGAUGUGCUCAUCAGCAAGUCGGUUUAAAUCGCACAGGAAAAGAGUGAAGGGGUGAAGGGAGCCGAGUACAGAAUCCAAGUCCUUCAGAAUCCUCUCACUGGUCACAGGGCGUCUGCGCUGGGGCAGCCCUGAGUUACCCUCUCAGCGAGGAGCUGGCAGUCCAAGUGGGAAGAGGAGAGCUGCACACAGGGAGCUGGUACUCCUUGCAGUGAAGAACUUCAACAGAGGAGGGGGCCUAUGAGUGUUUGGGGAGCAUGGAGGACAGAGGGAAGCCUUGCUUGGGGAGCGAUCCCAGAGGGCUCUCGUUGGGGGGCGGCCACGUGUGGGGCUCUCAGGGCAGGCAGUUAUUCACAGGGCUACAAACUGGUGGGGACGGCAUCCCAACAGCCUCCCACAUGGGUCUUAGGGAGCUGAAACUCCUGGCCAGCUGGAGCUCGAGAUCGUUGGAGGGGACCACGGGGAGGGAAGGCUGGGGAGGAGGUGAGUGCUGGAUUGGAGGGAGCACCCAGCCCAGGGCAGGAGUUAGCACCCUGGUUUAGAGGGGAGGAUACAAUCAAACGGUGGCUUGGGAAGAGCAAUGUGGUGGCACAAGCUGGAGACUCCUGAGUGGGGAGAACAGCUGGGCGUCCCAGGUGUAAAGUGGCAUGGAUCCUCAUUAAGGUGUAGACAAGUUAGGGAAAGAAGCUAGUGUUCCAGCUAUGGGCCUGGUAAGCAAUUAAAGGCUUUUCAUUGAAGUGUGGAGGGUCAACACAGUGUUGCCCACCCUACCAGGAGUAAUCGCAGGGCCAUUUUCUUCCUUCUCCGUCCCCUAGCCCAGGGCCUAGGCUGGGGAAGUGCCCAUAGAUAGGCUGUGAAUGAAGCCAAGGACUUGUGCAAAGAAACAUGGUCAGUAACCAGAAAAAAAAAAGGGGGAGGAGGAGUUAAACAUUCGUCAGCAUGGGUGUGAUUAACUACCCAUAGGGUAGCCCUGCUAUGAAGUACAGAGCAGGAGAGAGCAAGAAUGAGGCAGAUCGAUGCGCACUGACGUGGAGUGGUUUCCUGGCAUUUUGUAAAGUGAAGAAAGCAAGCUGCAUACCAACGCACACGGAAUGAUGCCAUUCGUAUAAACAACAAGGACUUCAGAUUAUAUAUGAGCAUGCAAAUGCCUUUUUAAAAAGGUCUCGAAAGAUGCACAACCAGUGAUUGACAGGGGUCCCUGCAGGGGAGGAGGAGAGUUACAGAAUGGAUAUGAGGCGGCCCUCACACUCGGUUUUGUUGUGGAGCUGGGGAACAGCAGUGGCCUGUGUUGCAUGGCUAGGAGCAGGGUGAGAUGAGAAUAAGCCCUGUUGCAGGGAUUCUCUAGCUCCAGUGUGCACCAGAGUUACCAAGCAGCUGGUUGAAAUGCAGGUUCCUAGGCCCCAUCCCAGCCAUAACGAAGCAGGAUGUCAGGGAGAGGCCCGUCUCACAUUUGCAUUUUAACCAGCUGCCCCCGAUUCUGAUGCCAGUGGUCCCUCGAAGCACUCCUGUGGCCACUCCAUAAAACUGCCCCCACCUUGGCUCAGCAGCCAGGGCUUGGCCACCAGGCUUGCUGGGUAACUGGGCAGGGCGACUUCCCCUUCAGAGGUGGGGGAGGCUGGGGAGUGCCGCAUGGGGCAGCCCUUCCCUCUGAGCGUGCUCUUCAGUGGGAUAUACGCCUUCCUCAACAACCAUGGCUCACCACUCUACUGGGAGCUCCGUGCAUUGAGCUGGAUGCAGCUGCCUUCUUGGGACCUUCAUAUAUCGAGGGACCAAGGUACCCGCUCAACUUCCCUGGGCAGCUUUUAAAAGAGACCUGAGCCACCCAAAUCAUCAUUCCCAAAUUCAUUUGGAAUUCAAAGCAAGUAGGAAAAACUGGCAUUAAUUAAAUAUUUAAUUGAUGUCCAUUAAGUCUAGACUAUUGGUUUUAGUUCAAAUUUAUGACACAGUUGUAUUUUUUAUAGCUGCGCAUAUAUUGCAUAUAGGCCAUUGGUUUCCUUCAUGCAAUAAAGUGUUCAGUAUAUUUAUGCCCAUUUUAUAGGACUUGGAGCUUAACUGGAGUACCGUAAGUGAUUAUGGAGACCUACAGUAUUUGCUUUUACGAUGUUGGUGGUGGUAUCACUGAUAAAUUUGCUGUUACGUCACCACUGAUUGCAACCCUGGGCCUCUGGGAAGAUGUGGGCUGCUUUACAACAAUCCAUUUUAUUGUGCACUUUUCAGGUACCUGUUGAGGCAAAAUGGAGUCUUUUUGUACCUUUACGAGGUGGGGGUUGAACGUCCUCUCACCUCGUGUGGCCAAGGCAAGGUCCAGAAGCCAACUUCUAUGGCUUAAAACGAGGGGCUCUUUCCCCCAGCAUGGCUCGGAGGUAGGGGACACGUGGGGUCUAAGCCUUUAUCUGGACCUUCUUCU